rnacentral:rRNA from 1 species
UACGUAGGGUGCAAGCGUUAAUCGGAAUUACUGGGCGUAAAGCGUGCGCAGGCGGUUUUGUAAGACAGAGGGGAAAUCCCCGGGCUUAACCUGGGAACUGCCUUUGUGACUGCAAGGCUUGAGUGCGGCAGAGGGGGAUGGAAUUCCGCGUGUAGCAGUGAAAUGCGUAGAUAUGCGGAGGAACACCGAUGGCGAAGGCAAUCCCCUGGGCCUGCACUGACGCUCAUGCACGAAAGCGUGGGGAGCAAACAGG